rnacentral:rRNA from 1 species
AGUGAACGCUGGCGGUGGGCCUAACACAUGCAAGUCGAACGGCAGCACAGUAAGAGCUUGCUCUUACGGGUGGCGAGUGGCGGACGGGUGAGGAAUACAUCGGAAUCUACUUUUUCGUGGGGGAUAACGUAGGGAAACUUACGCUAAUACCGCAUACGACCUACGGGUGAAAGCAGGGGAUCUUCGGACCUUGCGCGAUUGAAUGAGCCGAUGUCGGAUUAGCUAGUUGGCGGGGUAAAGGCCCACCAAGGCGACGAUCCGUAGCUGGACUGAGAGGGUGAGCGGCCACACUGGAACUGAGACAGGGUCCAGACUCCGACGGGAGGGAGCAGUAGGGGAUAGUGGACAAUGAGCGUAAGCCUGAGCCAGCCGUACCGCGUGGGUGAAGAAGGUCUUCGGGUUGUAAAGCUCUUUUGUUGGGGAAGACAAGCAGGAGGUUAAGACCCCGCUGUUCUGACGGUACUCAAAGAAUAAGCACCGGCUAACUACGUG